UGCCGUUUUCCCUGCAGUGUCUGCACAGCGU
rnacentral:piRNA from 1 species